rnacentral:rRNA from 1 species
UGACUGCGAGCGUGACGGCGCGAGCAGGUGCGAAAGCAGGUCAUAGUGAUCCGGUGGUUCUGAAUGGAAGGGCCAUCGCUCAACGGAUAAAAGGUACUCCGGGGAUAACAGGCUGAUACCGCCCAAGAGUUCAUAUCGACGGCGGUGUUUGGCACCUCGAUGUCGGCUCAUCACAUCCUGGGGCUGAAGUAGGUCCCAAGGGUAUGGCUGUUCGCCAUUUAAAGUGGUACGCGAGCUGGGUUUAGAACGUCGUGAGACAGUUCGGUCCCUAUCUGCCGUGGGCGCUGGAGAACUGAGGGGGGCUGCUCCUAGUACGAGAGGACCGGAGUGGACGCAUCACUGGUGUUCGGGUUGUCAUGCCAAUGGCACUGCCCGGUAGCUAAAUGCGGAAGAGAUAAGUGCUGAAAGCAUCUAAGCACGAAACUUGCCCCGAGAUGAGUUCUCCCUGAGACUUUAGGUCUCCUGAAGGAACGUUGAAGACGACGACGUUGAUAGGCCGGGUGUGUAAGCGCAGCGAUGCGUUGAGCUAACCGGUACUAAUGAACCGUGAGGCUUAACCUUACA